rnacentral:rRNA from 4 species
GAGAUGAGUUCUCCCUGAGACUUAAAGUCUCCUGAAGGAACGUUGAAGACGACGACGUUGAUAGGCCGGGUGUGUAAGCGCAGCGAUGCGUUGAGCUAACCGGUACUAAUGAACCGUGAGGCUUAACCUUACAACGCCGAAG